rnacentral:rRNA from 1 species
CCGACGGGUAGCAGCAGUGGGGAAUAUUGGACAAUGGGCGAAAGCCUGAUCCAGCCAUGCCGCGUGUGUGAAGAAGGCCUUCGGGUUGUAAAGCACUUUCAGUGGGGAAGAAAGCCUUGGGGCUAAUACCCUCGAGGAAGGACAUCACCCACAGAAGAAGCACCGGCUAACUCCGUGCCAGCAGCCGCGGUAAUACGGAGGGUGCGAGCGUUAAUCGGAAUUACUGGGCGUAAAGCGCGCGUAGGCGGUCUGAUAAGCCGGUUGUGAAAGCCCCGGGCUCAACCUGGGAACGGCAUCCGGAACUGUCAGGCUAGAGUGCAGGAGAGGAAGGUAGAAUUCCCGGUGUAGCGGUGAAAUGCGUAGAGAUCGGGAGGAAUACCAGUGGCGAAGGCGGCCUUCUGGACUGACACUGACGCUGAGGUGCGAAAGCGUGGGUAGCAAACAGGAUUAGAUACCCCAGUAGU